rnacentral:lncRNA from 10 species
CCAGGAGCCAGCAUCAUGAUCACAACAUACGCAGUUUUCCUGUGGCUGAUGACCCAGCAGUGGUGGUGUGGAGGGGCCCCUCAUGCUCCACUCUGCUUUUCUCUCUUGCUUAUUCUGAAGAAACUAGCUGCCUUGUUGUGAGUUACUCUGUGGAGAGACCCACAUAUUAAGGAACUGAGAGCAUGACCACUGGCCAACAGCCCUGGAGUGAUUGAAUGUUUCCAAAAACCACACUCAUGAGCUUGGAAGAGGAUCAUUCCCCGUUCAAACCUUCAGCUGAGACUGCAGCCCUGCCAAUACCUUGAUUGCAACCUGGUGGGAUGCUUCUAAGACACCUCCAUUCCAGUUUCUGCACAUCUGCUUGACUCAUGGGAAGCUCAUGCAUCCUUGGCACCUGGAUCAGGGUAA